GGAAAGAAACAAAUCUUUUAACUGCACCUCGAACGGCAGCACAGAAGAGUUUGUUCCUUGUGUGGCGAGUGGGGCAGGGGUGUAGAGUACGGAAAAAUCUCUUUUGUCGUGGGGGAUAUACUGGGGAAACUUACGCUAAUACCGCAUAGUACCUAGAGGUGAAAGCGGGGGACCUUCGCGCCUUGCGCGAUUAUGUGAGCCGAUGUCAGAUUAUCUAUUUGGCGGGGUAAAGGCCCACCAGCGAGAAUAUCCGUAUCUGGUCUGAGAGGUGAUCACCCACACUGGAACUGAGACACGGUCCACACUCCUACGAGGGGCAGCAGUGGGGAAUAUUGGACAAUGGGCGCAAGCCUGAUCCACAUGUACCGCGUGGGUGAGAAAAGCCUUCGGGUUGUAAAGCCCUUUUGUUGGGAAAAAAAUCUGGCUGGCUAUUACCCGGUUGGCGACUAAUCGGUAGCUCCACAAGACAUACACCACCGGCCUGACUACUUCGCGCCAGCACCAGCGGUAAUAAGAACGGAUGCAAGCAGUUACUCAAUAAGUACUGGGCGUAAAGAGUGCGUAGGUGGUCGGUUUCUAAGUACGUUGUGAAAGACAUCGCGCUCAACAUGAGAACUGUCAGUGAAUACAGGGCGACUAGAGUGUGGUAGAGGGUAGAGGAAUUCCUUGGUGUAGCGAGUGAAAUGCGUAGACAUCAGGAGGAACAUCCAUGGCGAAGACAGCUACCUGGACCAACACUGACAAUGAGGCACGAAAGAGCGUGAGCAGCAAACAGGAUUAGAUACUAUGCUAGUACUCCCCGCCCUAGAUCGACGCGAUCUAGAUGUUGCGCGUGCAAUUUGUGCACGCACUAUCCUGAACAUAACGCGAUAAGAUUCGCCGCCCGGGGAGUACGCUCGCACGACAGAAACACAAAGUGAAUUGACGCGCGCCCGCACACGCGAUCGAGUAUGUGGUUUAAUAUCGCAUGCAACACGAACAUACCUUACUCCGUGCACUUGACACGUAGACGAACUUUACAGAGAUGGAUUGCUGUCCGUCACUGGAACUCAAACACAGCUGCUGCACGGCUGUCGCUCAGAUCGUGUCAUGAGAAAUUGGUUGAGUUACAGUCACCGCAACGACACGCCAACCCUCGUUCGCUUAGCUUGCCAGCUACGUAAUGGUGGGAAAUUUAAGGAGACCGCCGGUGACAAACCGGAGGAAGGUGGGGAUGACGUCAAGUCAUCAUGGCCCUUUCGGCCAGGGGUACCCACGUAGUACAAUGGUAGGGACAGAGGGGAGCAAGCCGGCGACGGUAAACCAAUCCCAGAAACCCUAUUUCAGUCCGGAAUGGAGUUUGCAACUUGACUCCCAGAAGUUGGAAUCGCUAGUAAUCGCAGAUCAGCAAUGCUGCGGUGAAUACGUUCCCGGGCCUUGUACACACCGCCCGUCACACCAUGGGAGUUUGUUGCACCAGAAGCAGGUAGCUUAACCUUCGGGAGGGCGCUUGACCACGGUGUGGCUCGAUGACUGGGGUGAAGUCGUAAAGUAGUAAGGCAUAACUUGCACUA
rnacentral:rRNA from 1 species